GACGAACGCUGGCGGCGUGCCUAAUACAUGCAAGUCGAACGCAGUGGGGACGGGUGAGUAACACGUGGGUAACCUCCCAUCAGAGGGGAUAACACGUGGAAACAGGUGCUAAACCGAUACUGAUGGAUGAACCCGCGGUGCAUUAGCUAGUUGGUGAGGUAACGGCGCACCAAGGCCCCGGUGCAUAGCCGACCGGGGAGGGGGAUCGGCCACACUGGGACUGUGACACGGCCAAGACCCCUACGGGGGGCAGCAGUAGGGAAUCUUCGGCAAUGGACGAAAGCCUAACCGAGCAACGCCGCGUGAGUGAAGAAGGUUUGCGGAUCGUAAAACUCUGUUGUUGGGGAAGCGGUAUCUAACCAGAAAGCCACGGCUAACUACGUGCCAGCAGCCGCGGUAAUAC
rnacentral:rRNA from 1 species